rnacentral:rRNA from 1 species
GACGAACGCUGGCGGCGUGCCUAACACAUGCAAGUCGAACGGAGUUAAGUGCUUCGGUAUUUAACUUAGUGGCGAACGGGUGAGUAACGCGUGAGAAACCUGCCUUUCAGUGGGGGACAACAGUUGGAAACGACUGCUAAUACCGCAUGAUACUUUUUGGGGGCGAUCCCUAAAAAGUACAAAGCUUUAUGUGCUGAAAGAUGGUCUCGCGUCUGAUUAGCUAGUUGGUGAGGUAAUGGCUCACCAAGGCGACGAUCAGUAGCCGGUCUGAGAGGAUGAACGGCCACAUUGGGACUGAGAUACGGCCCAG